CAGAGACCACUAAGGGCUGUAGCU
rnacentral:piRNA from 1 species